ACUUUCANCAACGGAUCUCUUGGCUCUCGCAUCNAUGAACAACGCACCGAAAUGCGAUAANUAAUGUGAAUUGCACAAUUCANUGAAUCAUCCAAUCUUUGAACGCACCUUGCGCUCCUUGGUAUUCCGAGGAGCAUGCCUGUUUGAGUGUCAU
rnacentral:rRNA from 1 species